rnacentral:lncRNA from 1 species
UGGUGGAAGCUAUAAUGAUUUUGGCAACUGCAACAAUCAGUCUUCAAAUUUUGGACUCAUGAAAGGAGGAAAUUUGGAGUCAGAAGUUCUGACCAUUAUGGUGGUGGAGACCAAUACGCUGCCAAACCAUGAAACCAAGGUGGCUAUGGCUAUUUCAGCAGCAGCAGUAGCUAUGGCAGUGUCAGAAGGUUUUAAUUACUGUCAGGAAACAAAGCUUAGCAGGAGACGAGAGCCAGAGAAGUGACAGGGAAGCUGCAGGUUACAACAGAUUUGUGAACUCAGACAGGCACAGUGGUGGCAGGGCCUAGCUGCUACAAAGACAUGUUUUAGACAAUACUCAUGUGUAUGGGCAAAAAACACGAGGACUGUAUUUGUGACUAAUUGUAUAACAGGUUAUUUUAGUUUCUGUUCUGUGGAAAGUGUAAAGCAUUCCAACAAAGGGUUUUAAUGAAUUUUUUUUCGCACCCAUGCUGUUGAUUGCUAAAUGUAAUCAUCUGAUUAUGAUGCUGAAUAAAUUUUUUUUUUU